CUGGAGACAGGUGCUGCAUGGCUGUCGUCAGCUCGUGUCGUGAGAUGUUGGGUUAGUCCGCAACGAGCGCAACCCUUGCCUUUAGUUGCCAGCAGUUCGGCUGGGCACUCUAAAGGGACUGCCGGUGUUAAACCGGAGGAAGGUGGGGAUGACGUCAAGUCCUCAUGGCCUUUAUGACCAGGGCUACACACGUACUACAAUGGCCGAUACAAAGGGCAGCGACACUGCGAGGUGAAGCCAAUCCCGUAAAAUCGGUCUCAGUCCGGAUUGGAGUCUGCAACUCGACUCCAUGAAGUUGGAAUCGCUAGUAAUCGUGGAUCAGCAUGCCACGGUGAAUACGUUCCCGGGCCUU
rnacentral:rRNA from 1 species